rnacentral:rRNA from 1 species
CACGGAGUUAGCCGGUGCUUAUUCUGCAGGUACCGUCAUCACGCUACACGUAGCGCUUAUUCUUCCCUGUCAAAAGCAGUUUACGACUCAGAAAGCCUUCUUCCUGCACGCGGCAUGGCUGGGUCAGGCUCUCGCCCAUUGCCCAAUAUUCCCUACUGCUGCCUCCCGUAGGAGUCGGGCCCGUAUCUCAGUGCCCGUGUGGGGGACCAGCCUCUCAGCUCCCCUAGUCAUCGUCGCCUUGGUAAGCCGUUACCUUACCAACUAGCUAAUGACCCGCAACCCCAUCCAUCAUCAAUAAAUCUUUAACAACUAAAGGAUGCCCUUCUAUUGUCUUAUGCGGUAUUAAUCCGCCUUUCGGCGGGCUAUCCCCCAAUGAUGGGUAGGUUAGUUACGUGUUACGCACCCGUGCGCCACUAUCAGUAUUGCUACUGACCGUUCGACUUGCAUGUAUUAGGCCUGCCGCUAGCGUUCAUCCUGAGCCAGGAUCAAACUC